UGGCUCAGGAUGAACGCUAGCUACAGGCUUAACACAUGCAAGUCGAGGGGCAGCAUGGUCUUAGCUUGCUAAGGCCGAUGGCGACCGGCGCACGGGUGAGUAACACGUAUCCAACCUGCCGUCUACUCUUGGACAGCCUUCUGAAAGGAAGAUUAAUACAAGAUGGCAUCAUGAGUCCGCAUGUUCACAUGAUUAAAGGUAUUCCGGUAGACGAUGGGGAUGCGUUCCAUUAGAUAGUAGGCGGGGUAACGGCCCACCUAGUCUUCGAUGGAUAGGGGUUCUGAGAGGAAGGUCCCCCACAUUGGAACUGAGACACGGUCCAAACUCCUACGGGAGGCAGCAGUGAGGAAUAUUGGUCAAUGGGCGCAGGCCUGGACCAGCCAAGUAGCGUGAAGGAUGACUGCCCUAUGGGUUGUAAACUUCUUUUAUAUGGGAAUAAAGUUUUCCACGUGUGGAAUUUUGUAUGUACCAUAUGAAUAAGGAUCGGCUAACUCCGUGCCAGCAGCCGCGGUAAUACGGAGGAUCCGAGCGUUAUCCGGAUUUAUUGGGUUUAAAGGGAGCGUAGGUGGACAGUUAAGUCAGUUGUGAAAGUUUGCGGCUCAACCGUAAAAUUGCAGUUGAUACUGGCUGUCUUGAGUACAGUAGAGGUGGGCGGAAUUCGUGGUGUAGCGGUGAAAUGCUUAGAUAUCACGAAGAACUCCGAUUGCGAAGGCAGCUCACUGGACUGCAACUGACACUGAUGCUCGAAAGUGUGGGUAUCAAACAGGAUUAGAUACCCUGGUAGUCCACACAGUAAACGAUGAAUACUCGCUGUUUGCGAUAUACAGUAAGCGGCCAAGCGAAAGCAUUAAGUAUUCCACCUGGGGAGUACGCCGGCAACGGUGAAACUCAAAGGAAUUGACGGGGGCCCGCACAAGCGGAGGAACAUGUGGUUUAAUUCGAUGAUACGCGAGGAACCUUACCCGGGCUUAAAUUGCAUUUGAAUGUUGGGGAAACCCAACAGCCGCAAGGCAAAUGUGAAGGUGCUGCAUGGUUGUCGUCAGCUCGUGCCGUGAGGUGUCGGCUUAAGUGCCAUAACGAGCGCAACCCUUAUCUUUAGUUACUAACAGGUCAUGCUGAGGACUCUAGAGAGACUGCCGUCGUAAGAUGUGAGGAAGGUGGGGAUGACGUCAAAUCAGCACGGCCCUUACGUCCGGGGCUACACACGUGUUACAAUGGGGGGUACAGAAGGCAGCUACCUGGUGACAGGAUGCUAAUCCCAAAAGCCUCUCUCAGUUCGGAUCGAAGUCUGCAACCCGACUUCGUGAAGCUGGAUUCGCUAGUAAUCGCGCAUCAGCCACGGCGCGGUGAAUACGUUCCCGGGCCUUGCACUCACCGCCCGU
rnacentral:rRNA from 1 species